rnacentral:tRNA from 1 species
GCAGGGUAUACAGCUCAGUUGGUAGAGCACUUGCCUUGGAUGUACAAGGCCCUGGGUUUAACCCCCAGCACCGCA